rnacentral:rRNA from 1 species
AGUUUGAUCCUGGCUCAGGACGAACGCUGGCGGCGUGCUUAACACAUGCAAGUCGAACGGAAAGGCCCUUCGGGGUACUCGAGUGGCGAACGGGUGAGUAACACGUGGGUGAUCUGCCCUGCACUCUGGGAUAAGCCUGGGAAACUGGGUCUAAUACCGGAUAGGACCGCAUGCUUCAUGGUGUGUGGUGCAAAGCUUUUGCGGUGUGGGAUGAGCCCGCGGCCUAUCAGCUUGUUGGUGGGGUAAUGGCCUACCAAGGCGACGACGGGUAGCCGGCCUGAGAGGGUGACCGGCCACACUGGGACUGAGAUACGGCCCAGACUCCUACGGGAGGCAGCAGUGGGGAAUAUUGCACAAUGGGCGCAAGCCUGAUGCAGCGACGCCGCGUGAGGGAUGACGGCCUUCGGGUUGUAAACCUCUUUCAGUAGGGACGAAGCGAAAGUGACGGUACCUACAGAAGAAGGACCGGCCAACUACGUGCCAGCAGCCGCGGUAAUACGUAGGGUCCGAGCGUUGUCCGGAAUUACUGGGCGUAAAGAGCUCGUAGGUGGUUUGUCGCGUUGUUCGUGAAAACUCACAGCUUAACUGUGGGCGUGCGGGCGAUACGGGCAGACUAGAGUACUGCAGGGGAGACUGGAAUUCCUGGUGUAGCGGUGGAAUGCGCAGAUAUCAGGAGGAACACCGGUGGCGAAGGCGGGUCUCUGGGCAGUAACUGACGCUGAGGAGCGAAAGCGUGGGUAGCGAACAGGAUUAGAUACCCUGGUAGUC